AACGAACGCUGGCGGCAUGCCUAACACAUGCAAGUCGAACGAGACCUCCGGGUCUAGUGGCGCCCGGGUGCGUAACGCGUGGGAACCUGCCCUUAGGUUCGGACUAACUCCCCGACAGGGGUGCCAAUACCGGAUAAUGUCUUCGGCCCAAUGAUAUAUCGCCUUUGGUUGGUCCCGCGUUGGAUUAGCUAGUUGGUAGGGUAAAAGCCUACCAAGGGGACGAUCCAUAGCUGGUCUGAGAGGAUGAUCAGCCACACUGGGACUGAGACACGGCCCAGACUCUUACGGGAGGCAGGAGUGGGGAAUAUUGGAAAAUGGGCGAAAGCCUGAUCCAGCAAUGCCGCGUGAGUGAUGAAGGCCUUAGGGAUGUAAAGCUCUUUUACCCGGGAUGAUAAUGACAGUACCGGGAGAAUAAGCUCCGGCUAACUCCGUG
rnacentral:rRNA from 1 species